UCCGAGGAAGCCGGCAGGCGCAGCGGUCGCACGCUCCUCCGUGAUCCUGGAAUACAAGACGCCGCCACACUGGAAAAUAUGCUGUUCUGCCAUUCCCAGCCCGAGUCCUACCACCAGCACUCUGCUGGGUACAUUAGAGAGGCGCUGGCGCCUUUCUUAAAGAACGAAGAAGCCCGGCUCACGGCUGAAAACGGCACCAAAAGGAUCCCGUACCAGUACAUCCUGUGUGCUGCCAAUUCCCCGGCUGUGAAGCAGCAAGAGGAAGCUCUCACUUACCUCAACCAAGGUCAGUCCUACGAAAUCCGUAUGCUUAACAGAAAGCUAGUGGAGUAUACAGAUAUAAGCAGCAAAUAUGUGAAGAGCAUUGUGCGCGUGGUUUUCCACGACCGCCGACUGCAGUACAUGGAGCACCAGCAGCUGGAGGGAUGGAGGUGGAACAGGCCCGGAGACCGAAUCCUGGACAUAGAUAUCCCUCUGUCAGUGGGGAUCCUGGAGCCUCGCUCAGACCCUCUGCAUCUCAACACCAUCGAGUUCCUCUGGGAUCCCACCAAGAACACUUCUGUUUUCAUCCAGGUUAACUGCAUCAGCACAGAGUUCACCCCCCGGAAGCACGGCGGAGAGAAAGGGGUGCCCUUUCGAAUCCAGGUGGACACUUACACCACCAAUGAACAUGGAGAACACAGCGAGCAUGUCCACUCAUCCAGCUGCCAGGUCAAAGUCUUCAAGCCUAAAGGAGCCGACCGCAAACUGAAGACGGAUCGAGAAAAGAUUGAUAAAAAGAGCCCUCAGGACAGAGCCAAGUAUCAGCUGUCCCAUGAGACUACCCUGCUAAAAGAGUGCUCGCCGUGGCCCGACGCCUUAAACCUCACCAGCAGCACGCCGUCACCAGUUUAUCACAGCUCACCAACGUCCAGCACUUUCCCUGAGGGCAACUGUUCUCCAAACCACCAGGGGGAGCUGUUCAUGCCCAGCUGCUCUGAUCACCUUCUGCCGUCGUCCUCACCGCAGGACACUCAGCAGUGGCUGCACCGUCACAGGUUCUCGCCUUUCUCAAGGCUCUUCAUCAGCUUCUCAGGUGCUGAUCUCCUGAGGAUGAGCAGGGAGGAUCUGAUCCAGAUCUGCGGUCCCGCAGACGGCAUCCGGCUCUUCAACACUGUGAAGGGAAGAGAAAUGAUGCUACACCGCGUCGGCCUCCUGCAGAGACUCUGUCUUUGGCUCUUCAUCGGUUUAACACAGAGGUCUACAUCAAGCUUUAGUGCUGCAGGUCCUUCAAACACAUGCUGGCAUUCAAGGUUGUGCUCACAUUUUCAGGUGCAUACAGCCUCGUCUUACCAUCUAUGUGUGUCAGCAGCAGGCCAGAAAUCAACCUCCCAUCAAGCCAGGCGGGGGGGACGUCUACCACGCUCUGUACCUGGAGGAGCUGACACUGAUGGACCUGUCGGAGAAGAUCGCUGCCCUGUACAACAUCACCCCUCAGCAGAUCUCUCACAUCUACAGACAGAAGCCCACCGGGAUCCACGUCUUAGUCUCUGAUGAGAUGGUGCAGAACCUCAGGGAGGAAAGCAGUUUCAUCAUCAGCACCAUACGAGAUGAACACACUGAUGGCUGCCACGUCAUGUUACAAUGAUCUGCAGGGCGUCCUCGCUGCAGCUGUACACACUGUAAAUAUUAACAACGUGAUCUUUAAUAAGAUUUCUAUGAAAGUGGAAACGUUCGUCAGCUCUGAGUUUGCUGCUGAUUUUGUGCGUUAAUGUUUGUGUUUGUACAGAUUUGUUCAGUUACUGAUUCAUUGAUGUUGUGAUUAAUUAGUGCUGCAUUAAUCUUUAACGUAUGCUGUAAAUUCAAGUGACUGACUGAUGAUAAUAAAACAGAAUAAAUGAACAUCAUGCAGACAAACUGAAAAGA